UACGUAGGGACCAAGCGUUGUUCGGAUUUACUGGGCGUAAAGGGCGCGUAGGCGGUCAGCACAAGUCAGUUGUGAAAUCUCCGGGCUUAACUCGGAAAGGUCAACUGAUACUGUGCGACUAGAGUGCAGAAGGGGCAACUGGAAUUCUCGGUGUAGCGGUGAAAUGCGUAGAUAUCGAGAGGAACACCUGCGGCGAAGGCGGGUUGCUGGGCUGACACUGACGCUGAGGCGCGAAAGCCAGGGGAGCGAACGGG
rnacentral:rRNA from 1 species